rnacentral:lncRNA from 1 species
UCCUACCUCUACUCUUGAGAGAGAGAGACUACCACUCCGAUGGAGUUCAAGACCUCCAUGUGAGAAGAUCCUGUGGGAUAUCAUCAAGACCCCCUUGUGGGAAGAUCCAUCUAGGAUAUCAUCAAGACCUCCUCUUGGAGAUGAACCUUACCUUGUAUCUUGCCCUUUGUUGUUCAUGUACCUUGUGAUCUUGUGUGUUUGAUUGUCUAGUGGAUGUGUGAUUUGGACUUGUUCUUGAGUGUUUCCCCUUGUGAUUUCUCCCCGUUCUUCCCCGUGUUCAUCGUGUUCUUCGAGGGAUCCCACUCCAAUCGUGACAGAUCGGCCUACACCGGGUUAGCCCCGUAUCAUAUGGUAUCAUGAGCCACGUUGAUCACGUUUUUGGAGUCCCUCCCACUGUUUUCUAGCCUUCUUUUGCUUGAUUCCAUCCUAAAUUUCAAAAAUCCCCACCAAAAAUAGCCCCAAUUUUUUUUGUGAUUUGUUGGUUUGAUGAUGUUUUGUUGAUUUUGAUCCAUGGAUUUGCUUGGUUUCAAGUGGAUCUAGCUUUCCCCCAAGUUUCCCCACCUUCCAUCCACGAAAUCCAUCAAAUUUUGCCUCCGAAAUCAUCAAUUUCCGCCCCCAAUUCAAAAAUUUCCGCCCCAAACGAGAUCUGGAAUCGUCGGGCCGGACAACCGGGCCUCAGGCCGGACAUCCGGGCCCCAAGCCGGACAUCCGGGCCCUGGAGCACCAAAUCUGCACGGUUCUGGACAUAGACCCCUGGAAAUCCGGCCCCUACCCCCGGAUAUCCGGUCCCUGGCAUUUCAGCCUUCCGUGUUUCACCGUUUUGACCAUAACUAAUUCAUCCGGAGUCCGAUUUUGACGUUCUUUAGCUCGUUUUGAAGCUCUUGACAUCCCCCUUCCCACAAAAAUACCACCAUCACCAUUCGACUCCAUCAAUUUUUUGGCAAUUUGGCAAGUUUGCCUAGGCCCUCCACCAUAUCAUCCGCAUUACCACCACCGACUUCCGAAACCUAACCCAUAUUGCACCCCAUUGCAUUUGAGGUUGUUUGAGUAGUGAUUAGAGUCUCCUAAGGUGUUUCGGCUAUUUAGGGACGAUUGCUUCUGCAUCAACCACCACCACUAUUUCCACAUAGACGUGCCCACCAUACACUUCCGCCACCACAACUUAACCCAUUUUGUUUGUGUUAUGAGUUGUGUCUCCUUAGGUGUUUCAGCUACUUAGGGAUGGCAACUUCAACUCCGACACGUGUAUAGCCAUCACUUCACUUCCGCAUUGCCAAGUGCAAACCACCACCGCUUUCCGCUACCACCAUUUGACAUUUGCCUUUGAGAUUUUGAGUUUGCGGUUUUUCCGUUUCCUAGGGUGUUUCGGCUAACUAGGAACGGCUCGACAUCAAGAACACCACCACUCAUCAUCGCCAAGGUCGGUAACCUCGAUGACACCAUUGUAUAUUCCCCUUGCCAUUGCAUUGUUAACCCCUAGCCUUACUUUUGCGUUACUUGCCUAUCGAGACUAGCCAUUUGAGUAUUGCUGGCAACGUUACUUGUGCACAUUAGUGAUCCAUACUUCCCAUAGCAUACAUACCAUAUCAUCGUGGUGCAUAUAUUGCUAUCAUAUCUUGUGUCACAAGUUUGUUCCCGCAUAUACACAAUUGCUAUCUUGGUUUGUGCAUUGUGCAAAGUGGCCAUACAAAAAAAAGAAUAAAGCUUUUAAGCAAAAGAGAAAUAGCAACGAGCUUGUAAGCAAUAGCCAUAGCAUCAAAAUAUAUCAUAUGGUAUUAUACUUGAACAUUUGGAUCAUUGUGUGAGAAACUCCGGGAACCAUACAUACAUAGCAUACUUGGGAUAGAAAGUUUAUCCAUUUCACAUCUUAUAGGUUGUGCACAAGUGUCGUAUCCGCCUAUUGAGCAAUCAUGCUAGCGUCUCUCUUGAGUUGUGCAACACGAGUGUUUUCCGUGGAUUCCACCUUUUGUGCUCAUUCCUUGGUUGCACGACCCCAUUUAUCUAUCCGUAUGUGUGUUUCCGUGUGCCACAUAUUGCUAUUGGUCUACUUGUUUCGCUUGCGAAUUUGUGAAUCUCUUUCAACAUUAUUGACUCUUGCUAACAUUUUGCAUCAAUUUUUUUUGUGCCACUAUCCUCAGCGAGCUCUACCAUAAGCUUUACUUAAUAGGUGUGAGUGAAUAAGUCCGGUACCAAUUCCACUAUUCUUUCAUCUCACAUUGAGUGAAACGGAAUACAUCCUCAACUUUGGGAAAAGGUAACUUGGUAUUGUUUAUCUCAUUUCCUACUCACCUCUACUCGAGUCUUGUGAUGGAUAGGCAAGGCAUUUCACCUUCGGUCUACAACAACAACGACGAGUUCGAUGCCACGAACAACAACUCCGAUGCCAAGAUGCAAGCUCAAAUGGAGGAGAUCAAAGCCCUCAUCAGGUCCUACAAGCGGUCUUCCUCAUCUUCGAGAAGACGCUCAAGAGCACAUCCUUCCGAGCUACCAUCUCCGGCAAGAUCACAUCGGCAUCGACACCAUCACCAACAAGAACGUGAAGGGCAAGAUCUCAACACCACAACCACUCAAUGACUUCACCAUCUCCCUUGGCAGCUUCGCCAAACGAAUUCAAGGCAUCUUCGCCUACGGACAUACGACAUCUUCGCCAACAAGCACCCGAAGGCUACGCUCAAGAGAAGCUCCCCAAGCUCAAGUCCGCGACUUCCACGAGCUACUAUGACCUCGACACCGACAAUGAGAUUCCUUUCUAUGGGACUCAAGAACCCGAGGAGUAUCUCGAGUGGGAGCGUUUGAUGGACGACUACCUCAAGCUACAUCAAGUUUGUCCCGAAGAUCAAGUGAAGUGUGCCACAAGAAACUUCCACGACUACGCCUUGUCUUGGUGGCUUCACACACCUUCGGAGUACUACGACAUGAGUUGGCCCAAGACGAAGAGAGCUUUGCGGCGAGAGUUUGUGCCUCCAACCUACACGGAACAACUUCGACGCCAAUUGGAGAACACCAUCCAAAGAUCCAAGUCCAUCGACAAGUACUUCAAGGAGAUGAAGAUUGCCUUGCGACGAGCCGGCAUGGACGACCCCAUUUUGAUGAAGUUCGACUUCAUGAUGGGAUUGAACAACGACAUCUCCAAGACUAUCUUCCUCGAGAACUACAAGUCCAUCGACGACUACUACAUUGGUGCUCUCAAGGCGGAACAAGAACUCAUGAAGGCCAAGGCUUCUCCACCCCAAGCACACUUCGUGGCGACCAAGCUCUACGACUAUGAGCAUGAGGAUAGUACCACCAUGAUGUCCAAGCCCGACGAGCUCCAAGAUGAUGCUCCCAAGUUUGAUUUCACCGCCAUCCCUCUUUGUGUCAUUGAUGGAGCCGAGUCUACUUCGACUCUUUUUCAAGACGGUGCGGCGACGAGUACGACUACGGAGACCCUCAAGGACCAAGCUUUGGAGGCGAGCGAUAAGGUGGCGAGCAAGGAUGAUGCUUCCAUCUUAGGAGGCGAGAGUGAUGAUGUGCCAUCUUCGGCCUUCAUCAACGGCGACGGUGACGAGAUGAUCGAGCAUGGGAUUUUCCCUUCGGUCAUGGAGGAGAGUGAUGAUGUGCCAUCUUUGGCAUUCAUCCACGGCGACGAUGACGAGAUGGUUGACCAUGGAAUCUUCCCUUCGACCACGGUGAUGUAUGAUGACUUGAGUGACUUUUUCCACCAUAUUGAGAGUGAGAGUGACUUCACCACUAGCCCCAUAUAUUAUGAGUUGCCCCACUUUCCAUGUGAGGAGAGCCACAACCCCCACCACUUGUGUGAGAUGAGUGACUCCACCAUAUGUGACUUUGAGUGCACCUACUUUGAGGGAGUGAGUGAACCACCACAUAGAGAGAGUGAGAUAGUUGAUAGGUCUCGUGAGGCCAUUUGCAUUUCUAACAACUUGACCUCUACCUCUAUUGUGUCUUUUCAUUUGGUGCUAGGUCCCAUUUAUGAUGACGCGCCGAUCCUCGACGAUUUCGUCCUCCCUUUGGAUAAGACGAUGGCCAUGGUGGAAUAUGAUGCACCCCCCACAUGGUUCCAUCAAGAUGAAGAUGACCACCAUUUGGUCUUUCCCACCCCACCUACACCACUUGAGUGGAAUGAACAAGGUAACAUAGGUGAAGGUGAUGCUCUAGGCCCACUAGUGGACAUUCUUGACAUUGAUUGCUUGCAUAAUGUUGAUCCACCUAUUGCCAUGCUUCAUGCUAGUAUGAUUUCCCCAUGUGAUGAUUUGCCCAUUUAUGAUGAGUAUGAUGAUUCUCUUGUGGAGUCUAUUAGUAGUGAUGCCAUGUUGCGUAGGAUUUCUUGUGACAAUUCUUUAGGUCACAUCAUGUUUGCUAAUCCGCUUGACUUGUCAUAUGCUAUGCAUGAGAUCAACCAUAUGUCUUAUUUGCAAUCUCUUCAUAGUGACUAUGCAUAUGCCAUUAAAAUAAACCCAAUUUGCACUUAUGGCAUAGAUGACAAGCCCAUGGUUAUUGGCAUUUGUUUUUCUUGUGAUGAUAUUGAUAUGCUCCCUUUGCAUAAUUUAUCUCAUAUGCCAUGCCAUGCUAACCUAGCUUCGGAUAUGCAUUCUUUUGGAUGUUGUCCAUUUUCUCCAUGUGAUAUUACUCAUGAGGAGACCCCCAUAGUUUCCUCAUGCAUUUUAGGAGAUUUUGAUCCACCCCAUUCAUUGCAUGAUCCCAAUACUUGUGUGCACCAUAUGCUCCCCAUGAAUAAACAUGCUAUUGAUGCGCCAUAUACUUGCAUUCUCAAUUUGUGUCCCCAUUGUGUCAUACACAAUAACUAUUCUUUCAUGAUGGAUGACAUGUUCAUAUACCAUGCAUGAAAUUUCUUUGAGCGAUGCUUAUCUUGUGCUAACUCACAUGUGCACAUACACAUCAUGAUGGAUGAUGUGUACAUUUACCACGUGCACAAUUCUUUGGUCUGUGUCUCUUUUGUGUAGGUACCCAUGAAUACUUGUCAACCUUGCAAUCCCAUGAGUUGACAAAACGAGCUCUAGAGAGCAACGAUGGUUUGGGAUCCCAUGGAUUGUCUUUCCCACAGCUCUCUUCACGCAACGACUUCGCGCAUUCCUUCUACAUGGCCCUCACUUGGCUAUAGGUUAUUGUUCAUUACAUAUCAUAUGCCCAUCUUGCCAUGUUCACUUUGCAUGAUAUGCUCAUUCCUAUGCCUUUGACAUGCAUUUGUGACCCAUGCUUUGCAUUACACAUGAUGAUUGAUUCUCAUACUUGUAUGUGUAUUUGCAAGCUUGGUGGAGAUAUCACUUGUUAUUGCCAUGUUCUAUUCAUGACCAAUUCCUAUGAUGAUACUUUCAUCUUGCUUAGUGUUCGUGCUUGCGAUAUGUCAUGUGCAUUUUCUAUGCCUAUUAUUUGCUCACAUGACAUGAUUGCCAUGAUUUACUCUAGUGUGUUGCAUCUUCGCUCCACUAGUUUGCACGACUUGAUUAAAAUGCUUGCUUAUGUUGCAUCACCAAUGAUUCAUACUUGCUCAUUUCAUGCGGUUGAUGACAACCAUCUAUAUGCUUUGCACAUGAAUCAUAUUGCUUCUUGUCAUAUAUCUCCAUGUGUUGCCUCUCUCAUGCUAGAUUUGCCAUGUAUUGAGUCCAACAAUGAUCAUCUUAUUGCUCAUGAGAUUGCCCCCAUAGCAUUCUCGCAUAUAUUUGGAGAUUUUGACAUAAUUCUUGUGAAGCAUGCUUGUCAUACUUAUUUGCACCAUAUACCUAGUGCCAUGAAUUUAGCCAUUGUUGCAUCAUAUUAUUCAUGCACUUGUGCUUCGAAUGGUUUUGUGCAAAAGAUGAGAACCAUCAUGAUGGAUGAUGUGUUUAUCUACCAUGCGCAUACGUUCUUUGUUUUGUUUUGUGCAUGUGUAGGAUACUUGGACUUUGUGUCGACUUCCACUUCAUGUGAGUUGACCAUUCGAGAUCUUGAGAGCGAGCCUCAUACAUUCUACCAUGACUCGCUUCUACACCGUAUUUGCUUCCACUUUGGCAUUGUGAAGAAUGCACAAGGAAAUGCUUUCAAGGUGACAUCCUUCUUGAGCUUGGAUAUUGUGGAUCAUACUUCAUGUGUUGCUUGCACCAUUUGCACACAUGUUUGAGAUAUUGCUUUCACCUAUGAUUGCCACAUUUUCAUGCUUCAUCAUAUAUAUACCUUGUGUGUUGCAUCCAGUUCUUGGUCUACUUGCUACUAUCAUAUGGUUGGUUGCACCAAUAUCAUUUCCUCACAUAUGCCAUGUCCCAUUGCUCGUCACAUGCUUGACUUGAUUGCCUCACACAUGAUGAACAAUUGCUCUUUCUAUUGUGUUGAGUGCCACACUAUAAUCACUACACCCUAUGCACAUUAUGCUUGGAUUGUCUUGCACUUGACCCAUGCGUUUAGACCCUUCAUUUUAUUUGGUGUUGUGAAUGAUUCUUAUGCCUACCAUAGACCUUUCAUUGAGCAAUUUGUGAAUGCUUGCUAUGAACUUGAGGUAGAUGCUUAUUCUCUUGUCACACAUAUUUGCAUCACUACCUCACAUUUGCAUACUUGUCCCCAUGAUAUCUUUGCUUGUGCUCAAUUUAUAUGCUUACAUGCCAUGUCACAAUCCUUUGUCACACCCGAUGCUAUGCUUCAUGACGACACUUGUUUGGUGAAUCACCUCUUGAAUGCUUGGUUUUGCACUAACGCUAACCACAUUUGUUUUUCCAAGUGUUUGUUGUUCUUGCUUCUUUUGAAGGAAUCACUAGACGGUGCGACAUUGGAGAGUGCCCAUUUCGAGUUUCAAGAUGAUGAGUGCUUGGUGACCAACCACUUCGACACGGCACCGCCAUCUCUUUCCCAUGGUGAUUUGGUUUUCGAUCCAAAGUCGGAUCUUUUCGAAGGGGGAGGGGAUGAUGCGGAGCAUCCUACGGUCAUCACCAUGUCAAGAGUCCGUUUGGCAGGUGACACGUGCGACCUCUACUUCACAUACUCAAAGGUGAAUCUUCUCCUUUAUACAUGCUCACUUGAGCCCUUCGAGGAUGGUAUACUACUUGAAACUUCUCUCAUGUGCAUGCAUAGGUAUUGUCGGAGCUUCAUGGAUGUUGAGGAGGAGUGCAAGCACCAAGGAACAACUACACCAUCCGCGAGGGAAGCUUGGAAGCGACGACGAAAGAAGAUGGAGACAACCCCCAGGACCCGGACAUCCGGCCAGGACCCCGGACAUCCGGCCCCUGGAGCUUCACCCACAGCAGCCGCCCAGCCGCCAAGUACCUACAGGCCCCGGACAUCCGGCCCGCAAGCCCGGACAUCCGGCGCCUCCCGACAGCCCGGACAUCCGGCCAUAAGCCCGGAAAUCCGGCGCCCCUAUCCAGUAGCUUGGCCACUUCGGGCCGGACAUCUAGCCAACCGCUUCGUACAUCCGGCGUCUCACGAGAUCCCGGACAUCCAGGCCCCAGCCCGGACAUCCGGCGCCUGCCUGCGCGUAGAGGCGGGCCUGAGGCCCAUGUAUCCCCUCCUCACUUACCCCUUCGUGGACUAGCCUAUAUAUACUCCUCCCCCUCCUCCUAGUUAGGGUGAGCAAAUAUGAUAGCUCAUUCUUAGGUGAGCUUUGCUCCUACCUCUACUCUUGAGAGAGAGAGAGACUACCACUCCCAUGGAGUUCAAGACCUCCAUGUGAGAAGAUCCUGCGGGAUAUCAUCAAGACCCCCUUGUGGGAAGAUCCAUCUAGGAUAUCAUCAAGACCUCCUCUUGGCGAUGAACCUUACCUUGUAUCUUUCCCUUUGUUGUUCAUGUACCUUGUGAUCUUGUGUGUUUGAUUGUCUAGUGGAUGUGUGAUUUGG